GACGAACGAGGGGGGAGGGAGGCACAACGGCAAGUCGAACGGAAAGGCCCUGCUUUUGUGGGGUGCUCGAGUGGCGAACGGGUGAGUAACACGUGAGUAACCUGCCCUUGACUUUGGGAUAACUUCGGGAAACUGGGGCUAAUACCGGAUAGGAGCUCCUGCUGCAUGGUGGGGGUUGGAAAGUUUCGGCGGUUGGGGAUGGACUCGCGGCUUAUCAGCUUGUUGGUGGGGUAGUGGCUUACCAAGGCUUUGACGGGUAGCCGGCCUGAGAGGGUGACCGGCCACAUUGGGACUGAGAUACGGCCCAGACUCCUACGGGAGGCAGCAGUGGGGAAUAUUGCACAAUGGGCGGAAGCCUGAUGCAGCAACGCCGCGUGCGGGAUGACGGACUGCGGGUUGUAAACCGCUUUCGCCUGUGACGAAGCGUGAGUGACGGUAAUGGGUAAAGAAGCACCGGCUAACUACGUG
rnacentral:rRNA from 1 species